rnacentral:rRNA from 1 species
GGAUUAGAUACCCUGGUAGUCCACACUGUAAACGAUGAUAACUCGCUGUCGGCGAUACAUAGUCGGUGGCCAAGCGAAAGCGAUAAGUUAUCCACCUGGGGAGUACGACCGCAAGGUUGAAACUCAAAGGAAUUGACGGGGGCCCGCACAAGCGGAGGAACAUGUGGUUUAAUUCGAUGAUACGCGAGGAACCUUACCCGGGCUCGAACGGUGCAUGAAUGAUUCAGAGAUGGAUUAGUCCUUCGGGACAUGUAUCGAGGUGCUGCAUGGUUGUCGUCAGCUCGUGCCGUGAGGUGUCGGCUUAAGUGCCAUAACGAGCGCAACCCUUGUCGUUAGUUACCAUCAAGUAAUGUUGGGGACUCUAGCGAGACUGCCACCGUAAGGUGUGAGGAAGGGGGGGAUGACGUCAAAUCAGCACGGCCCUUACGUCCGGGGCGACACACGUGUUACAAUGGUAGGUACAGAGGGCAGCUACCCAGUGAUGGGGUGCGAAUCUCAAAAACCUAUCUCAGUUCGGAUUGGAGUCUGCAACUCGACUCCAUGAAGUUGGAUUCGCUAGUAAUCGCGCAUCAGCCAUGGCGCGGUGAAUACGUUCCCGGGCCUUGUACACACCGCCCGUCAAGCCAUGGAAGCCGGGGGUGCCUGAAGUUCGUGACCGCAAGGAGCGACCUAGGGCAAAACUGGUAACUGGGGCUAAGUC